AGGCAGCAGUGGGGAAUAUUGGACAAUGGGCGAAAGCCUGAUCCAGUACAUGCCGCGUGUGUGAAGAAGCCUUCGGGUUGUAAAGCACUUUAAGCGAGGAGGAAGGUUCGUUAGUUAAUACCUAGCGGAAUUGACGUUACUCGCAGAAUAAGCACCGGCUAACUCUGUGCCAGCAGCCGCGGUAAUACAGAGGGUGCAAGCGUUAAUCGGAAUUACUGGGCGUAAAGCGCGCGUAGGCGGUUGUGUAAGUUGGAUGUGAAAUCCCCGGGCUUAACCUGGGCACUGCAUUCAAAACUGCACGGCUAGAGUAUUGGAGAGGAAGGUAGAAUUCCAGGUGUAGCGGUGAAAUGCGUAGAGAUCUGGAGGAAUACCGAUGGCGAAGGCAGCCUUCUGGCCAAAUACUGACGCUGAGGUGCGAAAGCAUGGGGAGCAAACAGGGUUAGAUACCCUGGUAGUCCAUGCCGUAAACGAUGUCGACUAGGUGUUGGGGAACUUGAUUCCUUAGUGCCGCAGCUAACGCAUUAAGUCGACCGCCUGGGGAGUACCGUCGCAAGACUAAAACUCAAAUGAAUUGACGGGGGC
rnacentral:rRNA from 1 species